AGAGUUUGAUCCUGGCUCAGGACGAACGCUGGCGGCGUGCCUAAUACAUGCAAGUAGAACGCUGAAGAGAGGAGCUUGCUCUUCUUGGAUGAGUUGCGAACGGGUGAGUAACGCGUAGGUACCUGCCUUGUAGCGGGGGAUAACUAUUGGAAACGAUAGCUAAUACCGCAUAACAAUGGAUGACACAUGUCAUUUAUUUGAAAGGGGCAAUUGCUCCACUACAAGAUGGACCUGCGUUGUAUUAGCUAGUAGGUGAGGUAAUGGCUCACCUAGGCGACGAUACAUAGCCGACCUGAGAGGGUGAUCGGCCACACUGGGACUGAGACACGGCCCAGACUCCUACGGGAGGCAGCAGUAGGGAAUCUUCGGCAAUGGGGGCAACCCUGACCGAGCAACGCCGCGUGAGUGAAGAAGGUUUUCGGAUCGUAAAGCUCUGUUGUAAGUCAAGAACGGGUGUGAGAGUGGAAAGUUCACACUGUGACGGUGGCUUACCAGAAAGGGACGGCUAACUACGAGCCAGCAGCCGCGGUAAUACGUAGGUCCCGAGCGUUGUCCGGAUUUAUUGGGCGUAAAGCGAGCGCAGGCGGUUUGAUAAGUCUGAAGUUAAAGGCUGUGGCUCAACCAUAGUUCGCUUUGGAAACUGUCAAACUUGAGUGCAGAAGGGGAGAGUGGAAUUCCAUGUGUAGCGGUGAAAUGCGUAGAUAUAUGGAGGAACACCGGUGGCGAAAGCGGCUCUCUGGUCUGUAACUGACGCUGAGGCUCGAAAGCGUGGGGAGCGAACAGGAUUAGAUACCCUGGUAGUCCACGCCGUAAACGAUGAGUGCUAGGUGUUGGAUCCUUUCCGGGAUUCAGUGCCGCAGCUAACGCAUUAAGCACUCCGCCUGGGGAGUACGACCGCAAGGUUGAAACUCAAAGGAAUUGACGGGGGCCCGCACAAGCGGUGGAGCAUGUGGUUUAAUUCGAAGCAACGCGAAGAACCUUACCAGGUCUUGACAUCCCGAUGCUAUUUCUAGAGAUAGAAAGUUACUUCGGUACAUCGGUGACAGGUGGUGCAUGGUUGUCGUCAGCUCGUGUCGUGAGAUGUUGGGUUAAGUCCCGCAACGAGCGCAACCCCUAUUGUUAGUUGCCAUCAUUCAGUUGGGCACUCUAGCGAGACUGCCGGUAAUAAACCGGAGGAAGGUGGGGAUGACGUCAAAUCAUCAUGCCCCUUAUGACCUGGGCUACACACGUGCUACAAUGGUUGGUACAACGAGUUGCGAGUCGGUGACGGCGAGCUAAUCUCUUAAAGCCAAUCUCAGUUCGGAUUGUAGGCUGCAACUCGCCUACAUGAAGUCGGAAUCGCUAGUAAUCGCGGAUCAGCACGCCGCGGUGAAUACGUUCCCGGGCCUUGUACACACCGCCCGUCACACCACGAGAGUUUGUAACACCCGAAGUCGGUGAGGUAACCUUUUGGAGCCAGCCGCCUAAGGUGGGACAGAUGAUUGGGGUGAAGUCGUAACAAGGUA
rnacentral:rRNA from 1 species